UGGAUAUUCCAGUUCUGCAAAUGCCAUAACAAGCAUCCAUCUGCAGAGCAAGUGGAACCACAAUUAGGCCUGCAACAGAAGUACAUUACUCAACUUAUACAGAUGGCAAACAACAAUGAAACAAUGAUGUUCCACUGAUACCAGGAGCAUAUCUUAGUCCAGUGCAGAGUAUAACUAGUUUGUGCUCCACUCGAAAGACAGAGUGAAUAUUCAGAUAAAGCAAUACACCCGUUACAGCUAUAUAGCUUAGAUACCUUAAUAUCCCUUCAUUAAUUCUAAGAAGUAGACGCCCUCGUGUACCUGACUGGGCAUAUUUCAAUUUCUAGUCAGUAGUCUAGUAGUGAAAUAAAAAGGCCAGCAGUAACUCAACAAUUAGAAAGAAAGAAAAACUACUCUGAGUAGAAAAUAAACAUCAAGAAUUAUCGCAAAUAUCAACAAUAACAUAGAAGAACCUGCUCCAGGUGCAUAACUUGAACUAAUAGACACACAAGUAAAGGCUUGUUGUGAUGGGCUCCCACAUAAGGUAGUUUCCGCUACCAGAUGUGAACGAAGUGUAGCUCACUACAACUCAACUUAUAUGAUGGCACCCUAGGUUAUCACUGACAUGGAUACGACCCAACAAACUUGGUAUGCUUAUUCUUCACAUGGCAUCUCUGUUCCAAGUAAAAAGGAAAAUCAUAACAAGGAUAAGAUGGAAGCAAGGUAAAUAAAUAUAAAUAUAAAUGAAUAAAGCGAAUUGGCAAGACAUGUAGGUGUACAAUGGCAGGCAAAUGUAGAGCGCACUCUAAAUUUAUAUUAGUACAUUCGAGCGAUGUGGAUCAAAUGCUUUAUAUCCCAAACUGACUUAUUUUUUCUUCUACAUUCCGAAACAGAAAAGGUCAAAGCCACAUAACAAAUUGUAGUGUUCACAAAUCAUCUGGCAGAAAGCAUCUCAAAUUAUGCUCAACUAAUAACUUGUAGGAUGUCCCAACGAUUUGAGAAACAAGCACACACUCUUCUUCUAAUGGAAUUGAAUGCUCCUACACCUUUGAGGUUCUUGAGAAAAUAAAAUGGCCCACAGAACCUAUCAUAUGCCUACCCAAAUUUCAACCAAGUAGUGCGAUGGUUGAAGAACCAUUAACAAAGUAAUGGAGAGCAUGGUAUCGUUCGGGCUAAGCAAACAUAACAGAAGAGCCGGUUGCAUAGCAGGAUUGAUUAAUGUUGGCUGAGGAUGAUAGAUGGGAUCGAGCUGCGUGGAGUUGCACUAUGUGCAUGUGCGAGAACUGAGCAUAUAUGCAUACUCGUGUUUGCAUUGAUGCAGUGCAUGUGAGGGAUCUAGACCCCUCCUCAGACUGUGAUAGGCAUCUCCUUGCGGCGUGAUAGGUGGGAGGGGGAAAAGCGAGCAAACAAGCAAGCAGGGAGAGUGGGAGGUCAUGGACAUGGAGCUGGCAUGAGUGCAUUGAACACCCUCCACCAGAAAUUGAGCGAGCCGUUCAUGAAGGAAUAUAACCAAAAGAAGUUGGGGAGCACGGAUCUCUACCUCAAAGGAUGAGCCCUUGAUGAUGGACGUAGCUGCUCUUGUGAUGGUGUCAACUGUGACUAGACUAAGCUAUAUGUCCAGAUCAUGGUGUUCUAUGCUUGUUUCUCCGGAAGGGGAACAAUUCUGAGCCUUGUAGGCAUGGGAGGCAUGGGGAAAGGAAGUGUCCAACACACUGCCAAGACUUGGUAAGUUAGCUUCUUUGCACCGAGAAGAGACGGGGGUUCCAUCUGCACUAACAUCGGAUCUGAGACAGCUACGCCAUCCAUGGAUUGGGACACGACAGGACAUGGGCUUGCAUCAUUGCGUUGGAGUCUCCUCCUCCCCUUUCACAUGCACCGAUGCCACACCCUCCACCUCUCCUGCAUGUGCCGCGGUGUCGCCUGGCCUCCUCCUCCUCAUAAUAGUUUAAGGAGUUGCCUGACUUCGUAUGCUUCCCUUGGAGCUGCUUCAAUCUAUUUCCAGCUAGGAGCAACUUAGAUAUUGAAAAGAAUAAAUGACCUCCAAAGACAUCUUCACAAGCAAAUAACAAUAGAAAGACUGAAACAGCCUUUGCAAGAGAAUGUAUGCUCCUGCCCCCGCGCUGAUCGCUGACCAAGGUCACGGGUCUCUUCUCCACCACGCCAGGAUCCGAACCAAUCUCCCUUUUCCUUAUUUAACAGUUGCUCUUUCAAAAAUAAUAAUAAUCAAAAACAGAGAUCGAUGGACACAAUGAAAGGCACCUUAAAAUUACCAAUGUACACAGUCAGUAGUACUACAUGUUGGUAAGCAUAGAUCUGUUGACAAUCAACAAAUCUGCUGAAGAGAUAUGUUCGGCAUAGAAGAACAAUUAUUUUCUUGACAUAGCAAACAAAAUUAUAUUUUAUUUCUACACAUACGAGCAUUCCACAUGUUCCAGUAAGGAAGGAAGUCUCUAAAGAUGGUUAGAAACUCAUGAAACUAAUAGCAUAUGAUCGAUCAAGUGCAUCAGAAUUUAGUGCCAGUAGCAAUUUCAUUAUUUUCCUAGGGACAACAGAAGCACAAGCUACCCAUACAAGAUAGCGUCACCAUACAAAGUCAAAGAAUUGCAUUUCAGAAUGGUAGCAACAUCAUACUAGUCAUUUCAUCAUAGUACCAGCAGGAUACAAGAUGACCUCAAAUGGAACUCGAAUAUCUACACAUCUCCACAGAAAAGCACAUAAACAUUUUACCAAUUGCUCACCAGCAGACAAUUGGACGAUCCAAUUCUUGCCUGCCUUGUCCUGGAUAAAACUAAAUGUGUAAAUCUGGUGCUGGUUACUACCCACUCAAAGAUACAUAACUUUGCUAAAGAACAGACAAUUAAAGUACUGAACUGAUUGACCUGGAGCCUACUACAUUGCUACCGCCGAGUGCAACCAACCAUGGAGCACUGAACAAAGACACAUAACACUAAACCGAUUACCUAAUCUAGUAGAAACUGAAUCAUGGAGCGCAGGGAUCAACCCAAGGCUAUAUAUAGAUUUAUAGCAUACGGAAACUUGUGAAGUACAUACAGGCAGGGGUGUGAAAAAAGUCAGAGAUAGGUAGCAGGUGAGAUCUAAGGCAUUAUUGUCCCCAUCAGUACCAAAGAAGAAGAUUAAAUUAAAGGACAAAUAAUAGUAACACCUGCAUUCUCUUCAUACUAAUUGCUAGUGAGUGUUUGCAAGCUUUCUUUUUCCAACUAGCAACAACACAGUCAGACGAGUAGCAACUGUACAACACAGCCAGAUUGGUUUAUUUAUCAAAUGGGCAAUCUUACAAUUUCUUUUAUCUUUUGUGCUGUUACCAUCUUUAGUUCAGAUAUCGUACAUUUCCAUAUGCAUUAUGUCUGAAUAUUCCAUAUGCUACAAUUCAGUAGAGACUUUGUCUAAACAUUCCAUAUCCGGCGAAGAAAGGAGGAGGGGAAGGGGAUUUACCGAUCGUGGUCUCAUGGAGGAGCAACAUCGUAGGGUAACGGGCAACGUUGUAAUACGGUGGUGGAGGUCGCCGGUGGGCUCAUCAGUGCCGGCGGCCAGCGGAGUGGGAGAAAAAGCCGACGACCAAGACGACGAUGGCGACCAAGAAGAUGCCGUCGCCGGCAGCAAAGAGGAGGUAGGGGGUGGAUAGUAUGAGAGAAGAGGAGAG
rnacentral:lncRNA from 1 species